GACAGAGGCCUCGAGCGUUAGGCGGAAUCACUGGGCUUAAAGCGUGUGUAGGCGGAUCGUUAAGUACCUUGUGAAAUCCCACGGCUCAACCGUGGAAGUGCACUCGAAACUGCAUAGCUAGAGUCCUGGAGAGGAAGGUGGAAUGCUUGGUGUAGAGGUGAAAUUCGUAGAUAUCAAGCGGAACACCGGUGGCGAAGGCGGCCUUCUGGACAGUGACUGACGCUGAGACGCGAAAGCGUGGGGAGCAAACAGG
rnacentral:rRNA from 1 species